ACUCCUACGGGAGGCAGCAGUGGGGAAUUUUGCGCAAUGGGGGAAACCCUGACGCAGCAACGCCGCGCGAGUGAUGAAGGCCCUUGGGUCGUAAAGCUCUGACAGAGGGAAAGAAAUGUGGGUGGCUAAUAUCCAUACCACUUGACGGUACCCUCAAAGGAAGCACCGGCUAACUCCGUGCCAGCAGCCGCGGUAAUACGGAGGGUGCGAGCGUUGUUCGGAUUUAUUGGGCGUAAAGCGCGUGUAGGCGGUUUUAUAAGUCUGAUGUGAAAGCCCCGGGCUCAACCUGGGAAGUGCAUUGGAUACUGUAAGACUUGAAUACGGGAGAGGGCAGUGGAAUUCCGAGUGUAGGAGUGAAAUCCGUAGAUAUUCGGAGGAACACCGGUGGCGAAGGCGGCUGCCUGGACCGAUAUUGACGCUGAGACGCGAAAGCGUGGGUAGCAAACAGGAUUAGAUACCCUGGUAGUCCACGCUGUAAACGAUGAGAACUAGGUGUCGCGGGUA
rnacentral:rRNA from 1 species